GACGAACGCUGGCGGCGUGCUUAACACAUGCAAGUCGAACGAGAGGAGAAGGAAGCUUGCUUCUUUCAAAUCUAGUGGCAAACGGGUGAGUAACACGUAAACAACCUGCCUUCAGGAUGGGGACAACAGACGGAAACGACUGCUAAUACCGAAUACGUUCCUUAGGUCGCAUGACUUUAGGAAGAAAGGGUGGCCUCUACUUGUAAGCUAUCGCCUGAAGAGGGGUUUGCGUCUGAUUAGGUAGUUGGUGAGGUAACGGCCCACCAAGCCGACGAUCAGUAGCCGGUCUGAGAGGAUGAACGGCCACAUUGGAACUGAGACACGGUCCAGACUCCUACGGGAGGCAGCAGUGGGGAAUCUUCCGCAAUGGGCGAAAGCCUGACGGAGCAACGCCGCGUGAGUGAAGAAGGUCUUCGGAUCGUAAAGCUCUGUCUUCAGGGACGAUAAUGACGGUACCUGAGGAGGAAGCCACGGCUAACUACGUG
rnacentral:rRNA from 1 species